UACGUAGGGUGCGAGCGUUGUCCGGAAUCAUUGGGCGUAAAGAGCGUGUAGGCGGCCCGAUAAGUCCGCUGUGAAAGUCCAGGGCUCAACCCUGGAAUGCCGGUGGAUACUGUCGGGCUCGAGUCCGGAAGAGGAGUGUGGAAUUCCUGGUGUAGCGGUGAAAUGCGCAGAUAUCAGGAAGAACACCCGUGGCGAAGGCGGCUCUCUGGGACGGUACUGACGCUGAGGAGCGAAAGCCAGGGGAGCAAACGGGG
rnacentral:rRNA from 1 species